GUAUGUUGUUGAGAAUGAUGUUAAAUUCUUGUUGCCACUUAUUCAGAGCACAGAAUAAGCUAUGACACUCUACUAGAACUAGACUUUCAUUUGAGUUUGCCAUGAGAACAGUGGGUGGAGAGGUUCUAACUACUGAAAAUGCGAGAGAAUUUUCAUCUGCAGCAAAAGGAGAGACACUUGAAGAUACAAUCAGAACAAUUGAGGGUUACUCUGAUAUAAUUGUGAUGCGGCAUUUUGAAAGUGGUGCUGCCAGAAGAACUGCAGCUACAUCUGACAUUCCAAUAAUCAAUGCAGGGGAUGAUCCUGGACAGCAUCCGACUCAGUUAUGCCUAAAAUAGCCAUCAAUGCAGGGUUACUCUCAUAAGAGAGUAUUAUCAACAAAACAGUUAUUUCCAGAGAGAAUGCCUAAUUUUCUUUUCAGUUUUUCUCUAUAUUUUGAGUCAUUCAAUUUUGUUUUAGUCAACUAGAGGUAAACCAUUGUUACUUUAAUUGCUCCAUGAAAUUAGUUCAAGGAAAU